rnacentral:lncRNA from 1 species
CGUUGAUGUUUAUCUUCCAGCAUGUCGUGUCUCUCUUUAAUAGCGUAGGACUGGUGUAGAUUGUAUCACCUUUCUAAAAGUCACAGGCAGUAAAACGCAUUUCUGUGUGGAAACUGAAGAGUUGACCCAUCUUGUACGGGGGAACCAGAAAGAUGGACUAUCUUUACCAUAUUCCAGGACUACUUCUCCUUGUUAUUCUGGCAGAAGCUCAAGUACUGCUUCCAAGAGAAAAAAGUAAAGGCAAGUAUGCAAACACAUGGAAACUCUUAUUCAGAUAUUAAUGAUGGUUGAACGCUUUC